CAAAGUUGAUCGUGUUUAUGACGUCGAAUAUCGACGUCAUAAACACCGAAGUUGAUCGUGUUUAUGACGUCGAAUAUCGACGUCAUAAACACCAAAG
rnacentral:miRNA from 1 species